rnacentral:rRNA from 1 species
ACUUUAAUUGAAGAGUUUGAUCAUGGCUCAGAUUGAACGCUGGCGGCAGGCCUAACACAUGCAAGUCGAGCGGAAACGGCAGUAUUGAAGCUUCGGUGGAUUUACUGGACGUCGAGCGGCGGACGGGUGAGUAACGGCUGGGAACCUG